CAAAGCAUCUGGCAUAGGAGAUACCACAAUCAUGAAGGUGGUUUUCCCUGGUGAGGCUUAUCCAUUGCACUCUGGAUGUGCUGACUCCUGCGAUUAUCCCAAAUGUGGGAAACUCAACUGUAUAAUUUAUGGUAGUGGGGGACUGUGUGUUUGCUCUCCCCUG
ensembl:snRNA U1 U1 spliceosomal RNA